UUUGUACUCACGAUUUCCGUGACUGUACCACGACGCUGCCAGCGAAAACGAGAUUUCGUCCCUGACACUCUAAGCUCUGGCUUCCCAACUCGACGAUCGCGGACGACUUAAAGAGGUCAGCGGUAUCAUUCGGGAUGUUGCUACGUCCUUCGGUAAAGGACACAACACGAAGGGAAAAGAGCAAGAAAUUUAACCACAUAUUAAGGACGCGAGGGGUUCUCGGGGAGUUCCCAUACAAAUUGGCGCGUGCUAGUUCCCAAGGACCAUUUGAGUGGGACCGUUGAAAGAGCCCACCACCGCUUAUGUUGCGUGAGUUUCACGGCAGGCAAACUACUGAAUUAUGACGCGCUACCCCGAGGGACUCUUCCCUUCGUUCAAGAAGUCUAGACAUUUUGAUUUUAUAACGGGACCGCCUGUGUUUCGGAUAUUUAGCCCGUUCGAGUGCCGGUCCACCCUCUCGACGAAGAGUUUACCUUGCGAGGCUAGCCUCGUACGAGAGGUUUGCUUUUUACUCGAAACAUCGUCGCUCGAGCUGCUUCUUGCGUGUUCCACGCAAUUUCUACCCCUUACACGAUCUUCAAACGAGGUUCUCGCCACGGAUUUCUGAUAUCUAGUGACUUUGAAGUAACCCUCUUUAAUACGAAUAUUGUGUUAUAUCGAGGGUGUGGUAUUUUAGAGCGAAAUAUUAUUGGUUGAUGAAAUAUACAGAUACGAAUACAUAAAUUGAUAUUUUGUUUCAGAAAUGAGAGAAACAACUGGUGUUGUACAGAUUUUUAACAACUUUAAAGGUAAACCAAGAAAUAAAAAUUCUAUUCUA